rnacentral:rRNA from 1 species
GAUGAACGCUGGCGGCGUGCCUAAUACAUGCAAGUCGAGCGAACAGACGAGGAGCUUGCUCCUCUGACGUUAGCGGCGGACGGGUGAGUAACACGUGGAUAACCUACCUAUAAGACUGGGAUAACUUCGGGAAACCGGAGCUAAUACCGGAUAAUAUAUUGAACCGCAUGGUUCAAUAGUGAAAGACGGUUUUGCUGUCACUUAUAGAUGGAUCCGCGCCGCAUUAGCUAGUUAGUAAGGUAACGGCUUACCAAGGCGACGAUGCGUAGCCGACCUGAGAGGGUGAUCGGCCACACUGGAACUGAGACACGGUCCAGACUCCUACGGGAGGCAGCAGUAGGGAAUCUUCCGCAAUGGGCGAAAGCCUGACGGAGCAACGCCGCGUGAGUGAUGAAGGUCUUCGGAUCGUAAAACUCUGUUAUUAGGGAAGAACAAAUGUGUAAGUAACUAUGCACGUCCUGACGGUACCUAAUCAGAAAGCCACGGCUAACUACGUG